GACGAACGCUGGCGGCGUGCCUAAUACAUGCAAGUUGAGCGCUGAAGGUUGGUACUUGUACCGACUGGAUGAGCAGCGAACGGGUGAGUAACGCGUGGGGAAUCUGCCUUUGAGCGGGGGACAACAUUUGGAAACGAAUGCUAAUACCGCAUAAAAACUUUAAACACAAGUUUUAAGUUUGAAAGAUGCAAUUGCAUCACUCAAAGAUGAUCCCGCGUUGUAUUAGCUAGUUGGUGAGGUAAAGGCUCACCAAGGCGAUGAUACAUAGCCGAACUGAGAGGGUGAUCGGCCACAUUGGGACUGAGACACGGCCCAAACUCCUACGGGAGGCAGCAGUAGGGAAUCUUCGGCAAUGGACGAAAGUCUGACCGAGCAACGCCGCGUGAGUGAAGAAGGUUUUCGGAUCGUAAAAAUCUGUUGGUAGAGAAGAACGUUGGUGAGAGUGGAAAGCUCAUCAAGUGACGGUAACUACCCAGAAAGGGACGGCUAACUACGUG
rnacentral:rRNA from 1 species